GGGCAGAAACUUCUAUUCUUCUGUGAACAUGACAAAGAGCUUCUUUGUGUCGUCUGUCAGACUUCAAAAAAUCACAAAAAUCACCCAGUCUGUCCAGUGGAAGAGGCUGUACUAGAACUGAAGGAGGAACUCAAGCCUGCACUUAAUCUUAUUAAAGAAAAACUGAAGAGGUUUGCUGAGGUUGAACAAGAAUGUAAGGAAACAGCAGAACACAUCAAGAGUCAGGCCCAGCACACAGAGAGGCAGAUAAAGGCAGAGUUUGAGAAGCUCCACCAGUUCCUGCGAGAGGAAGAGGAGGUCAGACUAGCUGUACUGAGGGUGGAAGAUGAGCAGAAGAGUCGGAUCAUGAAGGAGAAGAUAGAAAACAUCACAAGACAAAUCUCCACUCUUUCUGACAAAAUCACAGCUAUAGAGAGGGUCAUGGACACUGAAGACACCUCCGUUUUACAGGUAGGAGCUUGAUUUAUUUUAAUUCAAUAUGCUGGUUUGUGGUUUUUCACAAUAUUUGGCCGUGUUCCCUUAUUCUGCACCAAUGCAGCAGUAGCCUACUGUGAGUGUGUCAAACUCAGAGUGCAGGUGUUCAAAGAGAUGCAUCGGCUCAUUUUAAAAUGUCAUCACAAAUUUUUUUUUUAUAUUUUUUAAUUUUGUAAAAAAUUGGUGUCACCAGAAAGUCAAUAGAAAACAUCACCACUGCAGAGUAGGACAUGUCCUGUAUAAUUUACAGAAGGCCUCAUUUCCCCCACAUAAUUGUCUUUCACCAUUGUGUCCUCUAUAAUAGCAGUGACACUGCACACUACAUGCAGGUAACUGCUGCAAAGUUCAAGACAGAUGGAUGAAACUGCCUGUUCACUCUCUAGAUUUGCAGUGAGUUGAUUCGGAGUUGAUGAGCAAUCUUCCAGCCACAUGGUAGCAAAAUUAAUGGUCAACAAAACCUGCCCAGCAUUUUUAUACACAACCGUGAGAAUGCUGGGAUGUUCACUGCUUAAUUAUCUCAGGAGUCACACCUGUGUGGAAGCUCCUGCUUUCAAUAUUCUUUGCAUCCUUCAUUUAUUCAAGCGUUUCCUUUAUCUUGACGGUUACCUGUACAUUACAGUACCUUCAUUCGUAUUUGCUUACUGUUAAAAUUACAUCACUUUUAUUUGCCUGGCUCUUGUUUUUCACUUAUUAUAACAUGUCUCUCCUAAUGGUCUCUACUGAGUACGUUUAUACAUGUAUACAUCUUAUUACAAUUGUGCUGUUAUGUGUUUUUCAGAGCUACAAGAACAUCAAGGAAAGGUAUGCAGACUCUGACCUAUUUUCAAGUGUCUGUUUAAGUCUCUUUAAACCCUAAAUCUGGGGCGACAUAACUCUGGAGGUAAGAGCGGUUGUCUGGCAGUCGGAGGGUUGCCAAUUUGAUCCCCUGCCCUGGGUGUGUCGACGUGUCCCUGACCAAGACACCUAACCCCCAAUUGCUCCUGAAGAGCUGAUUGGUACCUUUCAUGGCAGCCUUUCACCGUUGGCGUGUGAGUGAAUGGGUGAAUGAGAGGCAUCAAUUGUAAAGCGCCUUGGAUAAAAGCGCUAUAUAAAUGCAGUCCAUUUACCAUUUAAAGCCUGAGUGACUCCUGCUUGUCAUUACAGAGCCCAGUGCACACUGCAGGACCCAGAGCUGCUCUCAGGGGCACUGAUAGAUGUGGCCAAACACCUGGGCAACCUGAAGUUCAGAGUCUGGGAGAAGAUGCUGAAGAUGGUGCAGUACAGUGAGUAUCUGGGGCAGCCGGUGAAAUUAUGUUUUUUCCAUGUAUUUAAUGAACACACAGAUCUGAAGAAACAAGCUGUAUUCUGAAAUGGUGCUAAAGAUAAACAAUACGGAGUCACCCAGUCUCAGUUUAUGAAGGUCCCAUGGGGUGCAUUGCUCUUCUCUCAAUUUGAAAUUAGAUCCCAGGCAAACACAGAAUUAGCAUUAUAUAUAAAACCUAAUUAAUAAUAUGUUUUUUUAGCUGUGUGAAUUGAAUUUUGAAAUGUGUUAGUUGAUUUAUUCAUUUUCAUAUUCAUUUCAUGUUUAAAGUAUGAAUCACUUUAACUACAGUAUAUAUGAAUCUGAAUAAAAACAUGUUUUCAAUGUACAAAAAUGCCAAGUUACUCACACAUACACAGCACUAUAAGUCAUUAAGACUUGCAAAAUCUAGGCCUGCCAUUAAAAGUAAUGAUAUCAAAAUUAGGCCAAGUUACAAUAAACAAUGUUUAUAUUUAUCUUAGCUAAGACAAAUUAAACAUUUUUUAUGUGAUACUUUAAUGUGACACUUAAAAGUUUGAAUGACCACAUUCCCUUCAAAUGGUAAUAUGAAAUAACACAGGGCCAAGUUACUUAAAUAAUUUAGGUGGUCCUGUGGGUAGCACUGUCGCCUCACGACAGGAAGGUUCUGGGUUCGAAUCUCUGCUUGGAGUUUGCAUGUUCUUCGUUGUGUCCGUGUGGGUUUCCUCCCCUAGUCCAAACACAUGCAGGUAGGCCGAUUGGAGACCAUAAAUUUCCCAUAAGUGUGAGUGAAUGGUGUGUCCCCCCUGCGAUAGAUUGGUAGCCUGACCAGGGUGUAUUCCUGCCUCUCGACCAAUGCACGCUGGGAUAGGCUCCAGCAACUCUCGCGACCCUGCUCAGGAUAAGCAGGUGUAGAUAAUGGAUGGAUGGAUAGGUAGCAGCAUUGCUUUGGAAUACAGCUUAAUUUGUGUGAGCUAAAAUGACCAAUAUUGUUUCAUGUAACUUGGUGCAAUUUUGAUACCAAUACACCUAAUGAUAGGUAUAGAUUUGAAUGAUGACUUAUAGACAGUGCUUUGUAUGUGAGUACCUGGGCAUUUUUUGUAUGUUGAAAGUGUGUUUUUCUUCAGAUAUCAUUUCUUUUGUACUGUGUUUGUUAUGAGUUAGUGAUAAUAGUAAUUCAUGUAAAUGUUGGUUGAGAGACAUGCAUACACAUACACAUGCAUUUAAACACACAUUCUAGCUGACAUAAAUGCAUAUGGAUUCAAUCAUUUUCCCUUUAAAAUGAAUGACAAAUAAAUGAAAGUGUAUUUCAUAUUUUUCAAUGGAAGCGUUUGUAAUGGGCUACUGUACAUAACUUACAAUUUUUUGUAUGUCGGUAGAGGAUAUAUAGAGCUAGCUAACUUGAAAAUUUAAAAAAGUGGCAUUGCAGUGUAGUCAUGGUAGCCUAGUUAAAAAGUAUUGAACAGUAGAUAUGGCAGAGCGAUGUAUUUGACAUUGUCACUUUUUAAGAAAAUAGAUAUACAUGCCGUGAAGAAGUCGUUAUCCUGUGUCAGGUUCUAUAUGACCGGUAACAUUACCUACCGGACCGCAAUGCAACGCUGAUAGGUAGCUAACAUUAAACUCAGUCAAAAUACCGAAGGCGGAACUGUGUAAAGCGUGGGUAUAUUUAUUCUGUAGUUGUAUAAAUACAGAAAUAUAAAUUACUUUCCCACAAAGAUUAUUGACAUGCAAAAAUAUAGUUUCAGUGUUUUAUUUUUAGUUUGAGUGAGAGGUUUUUAUGAGUCCGAGGUGGGGUUUG